rnacentral:lncRNA from 10 species
AGGUGAGGUGCCGAGCCGCGAGACCCUGCAGAGCGCUUCCUUUGUUCCGGAGCGAGUAGGACGCGCUACCUCCUGGAGGAAAGAAGCGACUGCGUUUCGCAGUGCUGACUUUUUUUUACAGUGUGAGCUAACGUGUAUGCUCUGAAAAACACCCCGUUUUCCAGUAUGUGAAUGAGUAUAUUUGUACGGGGCCAGUACGGCAGACAUAGCGGGUCGUUGGACCGAGCCCACCGAGAGUGGAUCUGUGGGAAGCCACUGUGGCACCUUGCUGAGUCUGUUCACCCGUGCAGCUAGCUGGUGGCAGCCCUGGCAGAUCCCGGCACACAGUCAGGCUCCACGCCUUACCCGAGCCAGUUGUGCCUCUAGAUUACGCCUCGCUUAAAGUCCAGCGACCAAGAUAGAAAAACAGCCCCACGAUGCAACCAUUUUGGAAAACCGCUGCAGUUUCUGCCAAAGCUAAAUGUACGCUUACCUUGUGACCCCAGAAAUUUCACUUCAAGAGGAAUGAGUGCAUACGUCCACCAAAGGCAUGUGCAAGAAUGUCCAUAGCACGUUUAUUCGUAGUAGUAAAAAACUGGUAACCUAAAUGUCCAUCAGCAGUUGAGUGGCUAAAUUGUGGUGUAUCAUACAGUGGAUUUCUACAGAGAAAUAGGAAGUUACGGAUAAACGCAACAGCCUGAACGAAUAGCAGCUACUGUUAACUUAGGCACAAAGAAGAGGACGCUGUAUGAUUCCAUUUUGAUGAGGUUCAAAAUAUAACUGCACAGCAAGUUGUUCUCCAGUAUGAAUCAGGAAUCGUACCAGCCUGGGGAACAUGGCGAGAUCCCAUCUUUGCGCGUCGGGAGACAAGGUCUCUCACCCAGGGUGAUCAUAACUCACUGCAGCCUCAACCUCCCGGGCUCAAGUGAUCCUCUCACCUCAGCCUCCCUAGUAGCUCAGACUAAUGACCUGUACCAGGACACCCAUACCCAGCUAAUUUUAGUAGAGACUGUCAGGCCUCAGAGCCCAAGCUAAGCCAUCAUAUCCCCAGUGACUUGCACGUAUACAUCCAGAUGGCCUGAAGCAACUGAAGAUCCACAAAAGUGAAAAUAGCCUUAACUGAUGACAUUCCACCAUUGUAAUUUGUUUCUGCCCCACCCUAACUGAUCAAUGUACUUUGUAAUUUCCCCGACCCUUAAGAAGGUUCUUUAUAAUUCUCCCACCCUUGAGAAUGUACUUUGUGAGAUCCACCCCCUGCCCACAAAACAUUGCUCCAAACUCCAAUGCCUAUCCCAAAACCUGUAAGAACUAAUGAUAAUCCCACCACCCUUUGCUGACUCUCUUUUCGGACUCAGCCCACCUGCACCCAGGUGAAAUAAACAGCCUUGUUGCUCACACAAAGCCUGUUUGGUGGUCUCUUCACACGGACACGUGAGACAGAGACAAGAUCUGAUUAUGUUGCCCAGGGCGGUCUCAAACUCCUGGGUUCAAGCAAUCCUCCUGCCUCAGCCUCCCAAAGUGCUGGGAUUACAGGCCAUGCGCCACCACGCCCAGCCCCUAUAAUCUUAUUUUGAUAUGUGUCUAGAAAUAUGUAAGGAGGCCAGACAAUUCCAGUUCUGUGUGAUGAGCUUAGGUUAGGAUGGAAGGAAGCCAUGGACACCCUGAGUGCAAGGCAGGAAAGCCAGGAUAGAAGGCAGGAUUCUCAAGGGCUGAAGGUAGGGAAUGGGGUCAGGAAGGUAACGCUAAGAAGUCCGCUCAUCAAUUGGGUUUAGAAGUUAGGCAGAAAAGACAAGCAAGUGGUCAGUUCCUAGAAAUUAUACUGGGAGUGGUAGAGGAGGCAUUCAGGCAGUGUCCUGAU